rnacentral:rRNA from 1 species
UACGUAGGGUGCAAGCGUUGUCCGGAAUUAUUGGGCGUAAAGAGCUCGUAGGCGGUUUGUCGCGUCGAAUGUGAAAACCCGGGGCUCAACCCCGGGCCUGCAUUCGAUACGGGCAGACUAGAGUUCGGUAGGGGAGUCUGGAAUUACUGGUGUAGCGGUGAAAUGCGCAGAUAUCAGGAGGAACACCGGUGGCGAAGGCGGGACUCUGGGCCGAUACUGACGCUGAGGAGCGAAAGCGUGGGGAGCAAACAGG